rnacentral:rRNA from 1 species
UAGUGUGAAUCGCAGAACAUUGUGAAUCAUUGAAUCUUUGAACGCACAUUGCGCCUCCCUUUAUGGGGAGGCAUGCCUGUCUGAGCGUCAUUUAAACCAAUAAACCCGGAUGGGUUUGUGCUGGGCCUCGCCCGUCGGGCGUCGCCUCAAAGGCAUCGGUCUUACGAGCGGAUGAGAUCCAUUAGGACUGACCGUUCCGAUGACAUUAAACCUCUGACUUGACCUCAGAUCAGGUAGGGACACCGCCUGAACUUAAGCAUAUCAAUAAGGCGAGGAACAGAAACCAACAGGGAUUCCCCUAGUAGUGGCGAAUGAAGCGGGAAAAGCUCAAGUUUGAAAUCUGAGGGGUGACCUUCAGAGUUGUAAGCUGAAGAGGCGUAGACCGACGCGGUCCGGGCUCAAUUUCCUUGGAACAGGAGGUCAUGGAGGGUGAGAACCCCGUCUGUGGCUUGGGUGCCGACGUCCUUGUGUCUUGUCCUCGAAGAGUCGGGUUGUUUGGGAAUGCAGCUCAAAAUGGGUGGUAAAUUUCAUCUAAAGCUAAAUAUUGGCGAGAGACCGAUAGCAAACAAGUAGAGUGAU